ACUCGAGUGGCGAUCGGGUGAGUAACACGUGGGUGAUCUGCCCUGCACUUCGGGAUAAGCUUGGGAAACUGGGUCUAAUACCGGAUAGGAGCCAUCUUUAGUGUGGUGGUUGGAAAGUUUUUCGGUGUAGGAUGAGCUCGCGGCCUAUCAGCUUGUUGGUGGGGUAAUGGCCUACCAAGGCGGCGACGGGUAGCCGGCCUGAGAGGGUGUACGGCCACAUUGGGACUGAGAUACGGCCCAG
rnacentral:rRNA from 1 species